GUGCUCGUUUCAGCAGCACAUGUACUGAAAUUGGAAUGAUACAGAGAUCAGCACAGCCGAUGCGCAAGGGUGACACGCAAAUUUGUGAAUCACUCCAUAUUUUU